rnacentral:rRNA from 1 species
CCCUUAGAUGUUCUGGGCCGCACGCGCGCUACACUGAUGCAUUCAACGAGUUUCUUCCUGGUCCGAGAGGAAUGGGUAACCUUUUGAAAGUGCAUCGUGAUAGGGAUAGACUAUUGCAAUUAUUGAUCUUCAACGAGGAAUUCCUAGUAGACGUAGUUCAUCAGACUGCAUCGAUUACGUCCCUGCCCUUUGUACACACCGCCCGUCGCUCCUACCGAUUGAAUGCCCAGGUGAGCCAUUCGGACUUUCAUCAUGCUGGUUUCCAGUUUUGAUGAAGGAAAGUCUUGCGAACCUUAUCAUUUAGAGGAAGGAGAAGUCGUAACA